rnacentral:rRNA from 1 species
AUUGAACGCUGGCGGCAUGCCUUACACAUGCAAGUCGAACGGCAGCGCGGGAGCAAUCCUGGCGGCGAGUGGCGAACGGGUGAGUAAUACAUCGGAACGUGCCCAAUCGUGGGGGAUAACGCAGCGAAAGCUGUGCUAAUACCGCAUACGAUCUACGGAUGAAAGCAGGGGAUCGCAAGACCUUGCGCGAAUGGAGCGGCCGAUGGCAGAUUAGGUAGUUGGUGAGGUAAAGGCUCACCAAGCCUUCGAUCUGUAGCUGGUCUGAGAGGACGACCAGCCACACUGGGACUGAGACACGGCCCAGACUCCUACGGGAGGCAGCAGUGGGGAAUUUUGGACAAUGGGCGCAAGCCUGAUCCAGCCAUGCCGCGUGCAGGAUGAAGGCCUUCGGGUUGUAAACUGCUUUUGUACGGAACGAAACGGCCUUUUCUAAUAAAGAGGGCUAAUGACGGUACCGUAAGAAUAAGCACCGGCUAACUACGU